rnacentral:lncRNA from 1 species
UAGAAAGUAUUAGAGGAACAUUAGAUAUUUUUGUGUACCCUUUAAGGGGACCAAGCAUUAAAUUUGGUGGCUGAGGAUUGCUGACUUUUCUCUUCAUCUUAGCUGGCUUCUCCCGCAAGUUCAGCCAUUCCUGCCUCACGCGUGAAAAUCCCCUUUCUUCAUUCGGAGAAGCGUGAAGCCGCCCCGAAACCUCUCUCUCUCUCUCCAUUCCCUCGUGUUCUCACGUACAGCAGCGAAGAAGCCAGAAAUCAGAAGCUGCCAACGUCCCACCGAAGUUCUCUCCUCUCCACGCUGCCACUUGGCCGCGUCUGCUGGUUGUUUGGUCAACAAACCAGCGUUGAAGACCACUCAUCUUCGUGUCUUCAUCCGCAGGUCAGCAAACCAGCCCAUCUCUGAAGACCGAAGCCCCACAUGGCCUCACGCAGCUGAUUCUCUUCAGUUUCUUGUCAUCCGCAAGCCUCCACCAGCGAAUUCCUUUUUCGUUCGUUGACUCCACCGUUCGUGUCUUCGACUCAGCCGCCCACGAAGACACGAAACCCAGCUACAGUCUCGCCAAAGCUGCCACGUUGAAGCCCAUCUCCUCAAAGACCCAUACGAGCACCAGCCUUCUCGUGACUUCCUCUGGUCAGUCAACCGAAGUAGCUGGAGGACUCAAUGGAGCUGUUGCCGCGUCUUCUUUCUGCCGCGCGUUCAGUCGACCAAGCCGAUUGAGGUCAGCAGUCCAGGACCGGCGUUUCGUUGAAGCAGCCCAGCGUCUUCAAGUCUUCGACCCAAUUCCACUGCAACAGUCCACGAACCUCACGCCCAUUCAAAGCCCAACGAAAUUUGGCCCAUCAGCUUGUAAGUUCCAGCUCAGCUUGCAGAAUUCCAGCCCAAGUGAACAACAGUUUGGCCCACGUUUUCAGUCCAAGCAGAAUUAAGUCCAGAUCAAGUUCAGCCCAAGAUUCCAACAGUAAAGCCCAGCCUUGCUGAGAUUUGUUGGGCCUAAGCUUAAGGCCCAGUCCAAGUCCACCGGUGUUGUCGAAAGUCCAAUUUCGGCCGCCGUCGCGCUACCGUCAUGGUGAUUUGAUCCCCGCUUUUGAUCAAGUGAGUUUUACUCACUAAUGCUUUAUUAGUUUGCUAAUUAUGCUUAAGGUUGGUUAGAUUUAAUUAAGUGCAAUUAGGUGGUUAGAUUAGGUUAGAACAAUUAAAUUAGUGACUUAAUGAUGCAUGUUAGGUGGUUAGACUUAGUCAUUAGCAAGUAGAGAGCCUCUAAUAUUUAUUGAAUGUAUCUCGGGAUUUUUUCCGACCUGUUUUAGGCUCCAAUCAGGCAAUACGGGCCUAAAUUGGAUUUUUAAUAUUUAUUUAUUUAAUUUUCGAAAUUAAUUAUUUAAUUAAUUAUUUUUCUGGAAAUUCAACCGGGAUGGCUGGUGACCCGAAUUUCGUGCUGAUUGUCGUGGUGCAGCCCAUUUAUUUAUUUGAGCUCUACGUUGUGUGGAAUUAAAUUAAUUGUGAACUUUGAGGAUUUGUCCUUAAUUGUUUGUUAUUGAAUAUUUGGUUGGUAGAUGGCCGAGUAUGGGUAUAUAGCGCCAGUUACGUUGAUGGGCUAUAUAGUAGAGGGAAUGGUGAGAGCUAAUUGAGAAUGUUAUUGGCUGAGACCAAUCAGGUACGAUAUUAUUGGACAUACGUGGUUCGGUGAUUGGAAGUAUCACUGGCGAAAACGGCGCCUUAAAGAACGCACGUGAAUGACUUAUAGACAAACGUGGUUCGGUGAUUAAGGAAAUAUCACUGGUGAAAACGACUCCUUAAAGAACUCACGAUGUUGUCUAUUGCCGAUGUCACCUUGGCGAAAACGGCGCCCUAGAAAGGACACGUGGUUCGGUGAUUGAGGAUAUCACUGGUGAAAAUGACGCCUUAAAGAACGCACGGUGUCGGUGAUCGAUAUGUCAUUGGCAAAAACGACGCCCGAGAAACACGUGAUUUGGUGAAUGAGUACACCACUGGGAAAUCGUGGUAUGAGUGGGAAUGACCUAGAGAGGGUUUGACUGACAUGUAAUCGACUUAGUCGAUUGACCAGUGCUUGAUCGGAUGUUGUGAAUUGUUUGAAUAUCUGUGUUUAACCUUGAAUUGCAGGUUGGAACUGAGGCCAAGGUAAGUCCUUUGACUUGUGUUGUGCUUAGGCAACCGUAUGGCGUAUUAGUUUACUAAUCGAGUCUUAGGGGGUAGGACUCUGAUGCGUGAUGGGGUCCAUGGAGCUACGUUGGAUGCUCCUGCAUCAGACUCGCUGAGACGUGGUCUCAUUGGUUAUUGAAUAACCAUUUCAGGACCCUGAGGAAAAGCUGAGGAGGAAGAACCUGAAGGGGAGAAAGUAUUUUGAAGUAGAAGAUGAUGCAGAGAGGGAUCUUGAGUACAACCCAGAUAUGGAUUGAGAUCCCAUCCCUUUUGUGAACCCUGUCUUAGUGUAGAUAGGUGUGAGACUUUUAUGCUGUAAAUAGUAUUGUAAAUAUACUAUAAGUUAUGCUAUUAAUAAAAGUGUGGUUGUGAAUUUCAAUAUGAAAAAUAUGGCCUGCUUUUCUAUCCCAUUGUUUUAUUGUCUGGGGAUUUAUAACUACUUCCGCAUGCGUAAUAAAAAGAAAGGGUCGGCGAUAAUUAGUCCUGGGAUAUCGCACUUUAAUAAUCGACCAAAUUGAAGGAUGGGCACGUCCCCGAGGAUCGGGGCGUGACAUGCGUGGAGCUGGCCGACUCUAUGAAAAUCUUUAAAGGCUAGAUUUUCUAAAGCACGAAUGAAUCCCGAGAGGUUCAGGGCCGAAAGAACGAACACAACCAAGAACCAAUCUUGAAUUGGAAAUACUCUGUGUGAGGUUUAUUGUCUAGACUUACACAAACAACUGUCGAUUCAAGGCUUAGUCCAUCGACUAGUUAAGUAAGUCCAAUAAGCUUUCACUACAGAAUGUUCAAAGCGAAAGCUACCUAUCUUGAUGCGGUUUAUUUCAACAGGUAUGCUCAGAUUCCUUCGAGUCAAAAAUGUUUUGUUGAUCUAUUAAUAUAGGAGAUUGUUGUAAUUAUGGUUAUAAUUAUGGUUAAUGGAUCAACAGAAGCCAAUAAAUUAAUAUACGUUUUUUCUGUUCACGUAUCUUUUUUUGGAUUCAUGAAUUUCCUAUACUUUUAUGUUCACGUAUCUAUUGAAUUCAUGAAUUU